rnacentral:rRNA from 1 species
GCGUGGGGAGCAAACAGGAUUAGAUACCCUGGUAGUCCACGCCGUAAACGAUGUCGAUUUGGAGGUUGUGCCCUUGAGGCGUGGCUUCCGGAGCUAACGGCGUUAAAUCGACCGCCUGGGGAGUACGGCCGCAAGGUUAAAACUCAAAUGAAUUGACGGGGGCCCGCGACAAGCGGUGGAGCAUGUGGUUUAAUUCGAUGCAACGCGAAGAACCUUACCUGGUCUUGACAUCCACAGAACUUUCCAGAGAUGGAUUGGUGCCUUCGGGAACUGUGAGACAGGUGCUGCAUGGCUGUCGUCAGCUCGUGUUGUGAAAUGUUGGGUUAAGUCCCGCAACGAGCGCAACCCUUAUCCUUUGUUGCCAGCGGUUAGGCCGGGAACUCAAAGGAGACUGCCAGUGAUAAACUGGAGGAAGGUGGGGAUGACGUCAAGUCAUCAUG